GGAAACCACAGUUUUAUAGAGUCUUCUAUUUUAAAAAGAGCAGUAUUUGCCAAUGUGCUUUUUAAAAAGAAAUUGAAAGUAUUGUUUGUUUUAAGUGAUUGUUGAAUUAAUGUUUUCCAGAGCCCCUGAGGUCUUCCUCCUAACAAGUGAUUAAGGUUUUGGAGCUUGAUAGGAGAAUCCAGUCAUGUCCAGACUCAACUAUAGCUAUGCCUUGUAUGCCUGCUCUUAGUAAGGCCUGAUCCUACAACCCUAUGCACAUCUGCAGUCUGGUUGAAGUCAACUGUGCUACUUGAAUGCAUAAGGAUCUUCAGACCUGAGCCCUCCACUUGUAGGGAUUAUAAAAG